GUGUAUUUCUUAGAUAAUUACUAAUGUGUUGGCUUGCACAACCUACCAUGGAAUCGGAUGACAUUAUGCCCACAGGCUCCUGCAACUAGUAAACUAUGUAACAAUGUUGCACUGAUGCAUUGAAUAUGAAUUUUAGAGUUCCUCUUCAAAACACAUGAUUUUGAGAUUUCCCUCCAUACAACAGGUCACGUCGAAUUUAUCUCUGAUACCUACAAACAUAAAACUUUUGUAGCAACCUGCACAACCUAUCGGAACUAGAUAUAAAUGGAAAGAAUGGAAUUGCCAAAAUGAAUUAUGAGCUACUGAAUCCUUAUUUGUGCUGGCCGUUUCAGGAAAUUGACAUUUUUCUCAUUCUAAGUGUUGGCGCUUAUGUCAAAAACAACCAUCCUGCUUAUAUUUCAUCACAAAUUUAACAUAAGGUGAUACAAUUAUGCAUGGUGGUUCCUCAGCCAAAUUAAAGCUGCAGAGAGGAUGUUUUCGCAGUUGGUAUGAGGAUGGAAGACAAACUGACGAGCAUGUAAAGACAUUUGUGUUCAGCACAUGCAGAGGUUCCUUCUAUUGCCGUAUUUCAUCUCCUCUUGCGUACCUCAAAAUGCCCCUGUCAAAUAGCCAGGAUUCAGGGUGCAUCAUCGGUAUUUGUAGCUAAUUAUGAACAUCCACCACUCAGGUAAAUUACUUUUGGAUGUGUUCCAUAGUUAAAAAAACAAACCAGUCCUACCAUGACUAUAAUUUCAUGGACUGUUAUUCUACUGAUACCUGCCAUCUUACUUGGAGCACGAUGUGACAUCAGGAUUUUCCCAUCAAAUAAUUAAAUUCAAAUGUUAAGUGUUAA